AAGACAUCUGAGCUCCUUUCUCUCGAUCUUUCUGUCUCGCGUCUCUGUGUCUGCCUUCUGCCCGUCUCUCCUUUUCUUUUCUUCUUCCUUGUUAAAGCCAUACUGUAUUUGCCCGCCUUUGUUGGCAGGGGGUAAAUGUAGGGCUUGAGGACAGGGCGGGAGGGAAGUAAUGGAGGGGUGUGGGGACUUUGAGUUCAGAGAGUUCAGCUGAGGAGAGAAAUAAAUUCAUAAACAACAAAGGAGACGUGACGUCAGGGUUGAGGGGCUGUCCAACCUGCUGCCUGAAUCUGAGCCUCCAUAGAAGAACCGGAUUCUUCACACCACGUGUGUGUGUGCGUGCGUGUGUACAGUAUGAACGUGUGUGUAUGUGUGUGUGCGUCCAUUGUCCUGUCUUUGAGAAAAGACUUGUGGUGUUCAAGCAGAGAAGCUGGGCUAUUGUGGUCUGCUUUGUGUCCGCAGUUGGUGUUUGAAGACUGAGAGAAGCCUCUGGUAAUGUGUGUGUUGGUAUCUGUUUGGCCAGUCAGAGGACUCCGCCGCUAUUAUUACAGCAGCUGCGACAACGAAUUAGGCGUUUCACUCGAAACAAGCUUUGCUUUUUGUCUGUAAUUGGUUGCUUGAAUCGAAUGGUAGAAGAGUGUUCCUGGGUUUUUUUAGAGUUACACUCAGUAUUUUCAAAAUGACAUCAGCUCGGAGGUGAGUGCUGAUUGGUUGGCUCGGCUUGGGAUACCCGCUUCAGCACCAAUGAUUGGCCCGCAAGCUGGCUACAGAGAAGGUCGGCCAUUAAUGAGCAGAUGGAUUUAUGUUUUCUCUCCUAAUGAUUGAGGUCAUCUAGAGGCGACAGCUCGCUGAUCCAAGAUCUGCAUUGGUGUUCAACUAUCAUGCUCGGGUGAGAAAGCAAAGGGAAACCUGGGAAGGAUGCCAAAGGCAGGGGGGGAAAGUAUCCACCCUCCCUGCUCAUUGAUUCAUUUAGCUGAACUCUCUCAAAGCCCUCCCUCUCACGAGGGCUGAUAUUAUCCCCAAUGGAGGGAGAGAGGACGGAUUGAGGGGAGACGCAAAGAAAAACGGGCAGAACAGAGAUGUCAAAAAAGACAGGAAGUCUGCCAGGAAUCCUUUUUCUGGUGAGAGAACUUGAAAAACAAAAGUCCAACAGCGUAUAUGAGAAAUCUCAAGCCAGUUUGAGCUUCUUUAAAAAAAAUCUAUUGACUGUAUGAACAUGGUGAGAUGCAACAAUAUGGCAGAAGUGUCGGGAUCUGCUUGUCUCUCUCGCCAUCUGUCUGUUGCUGCAGGAUAGUAUGAGUGGGGUAUGUUUUGGAUAUUGGAUAAUAAAGGUGUACGUGAGCCGAUACCGGACUGUUUUGUGUCGCCGCGUCGGCUCACGACAGUUGACGUUUCUUCUGGUACUUUGUUUCCUUGUCUUUCUGUGGCACACUCUCAGUCUUAACUCUUUUCUCGGACUCCUCCUCUUUCUGUUCCUUCUCUCGCUACAGCAUGUCACUCCCUUCCUCUUUCUGUGUCUCUGCACCCCCCACCUCCUCCCGUCCUCCCCUCCUUUCUCUCUCCUUCCCUCUUGGCAGCGGUGCCAAAGUGGGCUGGCAGACCGAGGCAAACACAGCACAGGGCAGAGCAGAGGGUGAUCCAAAGGCUGGUGAUUUGAUUAUGUUGGCUGUGUGUGAGCAGACGUCCCUCUGUCACCUCGUGUACGGACAGACGCACUCACGCCAGUAGGAGGGGAUUGUGGGAAGGGGGUGUAGCUCUCAGAGGGUGUGCUCUACUCCUCUCUUUUCCCUUCUUCCCGCCAUCACGGCCCUCUUCUCCGUCAGUCGUCCGGCCCAGCCCGUCGCUCACUACAGGCUUCAGGUAUUUCCCUUUUUUUAAUCCUGUGACACCUUUUCCCUGCAGUCUGUCUCCCCGAGUUCCUCUCGCCCUGUUCUCUGUCCUUUAUCGUGGUCUUUCUCCUAAACGUUGUCUGUUGUUAUCGGUUGCCACGCCGCACUCUCCUCGGCGCCAUUUUGGCUCAAUGUACAUAACAGGAGAAACUUUUCUAGAGCUCAGAGGGACACUGCGACUCCCUGCUGACAGUCUUCUUUCCCCUGGUGUCUCUAUCUCUUUCUGUCUUAACCUGAACCCCUCUUUGCUGCAGGACAGCAGGCUCUGACGGGGGGGUCAACAGUAUUUUCUGUGGUUUUCUGUAUUGAACAGGUGUCUCUUUGGAGACUGGUAGGAGGGACGACAGGCCUUCUUGGUUACUCACUGACCUCAGAGGGUUGUGUGGCUUGAGAAUGGUUGUGAGCUUCAGGUUAGUGUAAGUAUAGGUGCUAACCAGUGUUGAAGAGCUGUUAUGGGACAAGUGAGGCACAAAUCUCUUAUCAUCCGGGGCCAUGGCGAUAGAGGUAAUAUAAGGACAAUAUUUACUUCCUUUGUUUCUAGCCACUGUAAAAAGUCUGAUAUAUGGCAGAAGUUUCACAGAAACAUGUUUGCUGGUGCAGUUGUGUGUCCAGUUUUAUGCUUUUUCAGUCUAGAGUUGUGUCUGUUUGCCAAAAGAUAGCUGCUACAACACUGCGUCAUUAACAUCUUUAUAUACUUUACAUUUCAGAGGAAGCGUUGGGCAGAAAUGAAACUGACGAUGCUGUAAAGAAAAAGGUUUUUUCAGUAGUGAGACGAAUGUUUUGUUUUAUUUGGUUUUGUUGUUGUUGCUUUUUUUUGACGUGCCAUAUGAGAAGAAGAAAUUUAAAGAGGAGCGGUAGCAUUUGUGUGACUGGUGUGUAUUUAGGCAACAUGUAAAACUGUCGUAUAUAAGGGUCAUUUUGAUUACAGCUGUAUGUCAGAGACCAGAACACUGCACUUGAAUUAGACAAGCGACUGUGCAUAUUGACCAAGAGCCGUUGCAAUAAUUUAACCAAAUUUAGUUGGUCAGAUAUUACAUUGAAAUAUCUGCUUACUGUACAUGUAAUUAGGAACCUAACUGGACAACUUUAUGCCAGAGCUGCAUAUUGCAUCUAAAUAUGGGUUGGUGUUAAAAUGGCGCCUUCAUGCCACGUGUAAACAGUGAACACCAUCAGACCUUUUCAUCAUACCCCUCACAAUUAGCGGCUAUGCUACUCUGUCAAGUCUCUAUUUUUUCUGAAUGCUUAUCUUUCGCAUAAAGUGGCAAAUGGCUGCAUAACAAAAGUAAACUCGUUUUUUGUUUGUUUGUUUUUUGGAUUUUUUGCAUAUCAAAAUGUGGUACUAAAGAAAGACAAACGUUAAGAGGAAAAAGGGCUUGAAAAAAUAUAGAGAUCAAAAGUUACAGAGAUAGAAAGAGAGGGAGGAGUGGGAGUGCUCUUUCCCCGCCCCUCUCGUAUCCUCAGAUGAACUUAUCGUGUUGCCUCAUAAUGCUUCUGAGUUUUUCUCCUAGAGGCAGUCAGGCUUACUUCCUUCAUUCAGCCUCGACAUAGCUGAUUGGUUGAUAUCUUGGCUGACCGACCGCGGUUUGGAGCGAAGCAACAGGAAGUUUCUCUUCUCAUGCAGGAAGCUGCAGCUGUUUCGUCCUGACACACACUGCUUUGCACUUUUGCACGCAUUCUCUUUGUGUGCAUGUGCACAAAUAUGCACAUGCACACAUGCACUGGCUUUGAAAGGGCAUACCUUUCCAAGUGUUUGUGAUUAUAUGCUGUAUACGUGCAUGCUUGUGUACAGUCUGCACCGUGUGGCAUUUGUAAAUGCUCUAACAUGUGGGCGUGUAGCGACAUGCAAGGCCAGGAUUCUGAGCUAUCAGAAACAUUUGAAACCAUGGUAACCACACAUCUCAUUAGCACAUUAGCAAAAGCAUAGACAAGUGGAGAUGAGAGGACAGAGAAAGUAGAUGGAGAGGAGGAAAGCGACCUUUCUUCAUUCGGAGAUUUUAGAGACACACACUAGUCAUUCGACUACUUGGAGGACUGUCCACACAGCCCAAGCCUGCAGAUUGGCUGUUUGGCCUGUCAGCCAUAGCUCCUUGUCUAUAUGUGUAUCUAUGGGUCAGGUUGUUGUUGGAAGCUGAUAGUCAGCACAGUGACUCCCAUAUGCUCUUGGCGUAUCUGGGUCAUAUAUCUUUUCCUCAAACAAACUGUCCAGCAUGUUUAUCCAGCGCUCAGGCUGACUCAUGUCAGUUCAACAUUUGUCUGUGCAGCCAUCUACUGCACAAAACCAAAACACUGAUCGCAAAAGCCUGGAAGCCUUUUUAUUUAAUUACCAUUCAUCUAAUCAAGAUCAACUGAGCUCCUUUAAUGCCCACAGUUUGAGCAACUGUGCUGUGUUGUCUGUACCAGUGUACGGUUGUGUUAGUACACACAUAUGGCAGCAUAUCUCUGCAUACAUGCGAGCAUGAGCUGUGUGUUGUGCCUAGCUAAUGAGGAUAUACAGAACAUCAGAGCGGGCACCAUGCCAAGUGGGAUGGUAGAGGCUCAGUGCUCCUUCGUCCUCUAAUGCAGGAAUAUAGCGUUCCUGAGAGAGUGGGAGGAUGAAAGCUUGUGUGAUAAAGUCACCAUGGUGCUUUUAAGAGGAUCAGUAAGAAUGGACGUGAGUUAGACAAGCAGUCAGUCGGGGAAUUCUUCACUCUGCCAUCUAUUGUGGCUUACUUCCUCCAUCAACGCCACCGCUCCUCCCCCUCUUUAACCACCACCUCCACCUCCUUACUCCCCUUAUUGAAAUUCUGCCUGGCACACAGACUCUGUCCAUUCUUGGCACAAAGCUCAGAGAGCGAAAGAGAGAGAAACACACAAGAACCUGUACCAAUCGUCUGGUGCCCCGUCCGUUGUGCCUGUGCCAAACAUUCAUUCUGUCUCGCGGACCGAGGGACCAGGCGAGCCAAUAGGUGUUUUCCUGCCUCUGCUUCCUGCGAUAAUCUGCUCCAAUUUUGAGGACUUUUGUUGGCAACUGGGUAUGCUGCGAGUGUUCUGAGAUUCGAUAAUUAACCCGCGUGUUUACGUUGUUUGCAUCGGACAAGGAAUAAAUCGCCCGGUGGGGGACAAAGUCUGAAUCCUCCCGUCAGUGGAGGAGAGGAGCUAAGGCUGCUUUCCAUUAUAUUCUUAAUCCUUUUUUUCACGUGGGUUUCUGUUUGUUUUAAUGUGGAGACGUGAAGUUUGUAAAACCUGGUUCCCUUUGCUCGCCGUUUUAAUGGCGUUUGCUCUUUGUUUGACACCGACAUGUUUAGAAAGAAAGAAGAGAGGACAAAAUGAGCGGGCACGCCGUGGUCAAUAUGUCCAU